GAGCUUGAAUCAGCCAGGACUCAUCACUCAUGGCUCUCCUGUGGGUUAAUGCUGUUCUCGGAGGAGGAAUAGCGCAGAUGCACUGAGAGUUCACAUCUGUUUGUGAGCUUGGAUGCUUCCAGCAGGCAGAAAAAAAGGCAAUGUAGGCAGUUCCUUCUGUCCUUCCCAAAAUGGUGAGGGUACAGAGUGCUGUAGAUGGAGGCUCAGCAGAGAACAAGAAAUCCAUCUCCAUUCUCCAUCCACUGAAAGAAUCUUGUUUCACCCCAUCUGUUCCAGAUUUUGAAUCUUCAAGUUCCUGAAGCUUCAGCUGGAGUCAACAGGUGUCCAGGGCACUGGGAAAUGAACUACAGAGAGUCAACAGUUUGCAGGACCAGGCUGCAUCCCUCAGGAGUUUACCCUUCCUGGAGAUAGCUGGAGAAGCCCUCUCAAAAGGAAUGUCCUGGAGGGAAGAGUAAAAAAGGGACAUGCAUGUGUCCCCAGGGGUUUGUUCCUGCCCCUCAUUCAAGGCCAUUAGCUGUGA